rnacentral:lncRNA from 1 species
GGGUGGCCAAAGGAUCAUACACAGGCGGGUGGAUCUGGAGAAGCUGGAGCUUCAACCAUGGAGGAAGAUGAUGAGGAUGAUGAUGAUGAAGAUUGUGAUGUUGAAGAAGAAGAGGAAGAGGAAGAUGACGAAGAGGAGGAUGAGGACUCAAAUGAUAAUAGAGGAUGAUAGCAUUUACUGAUGAAGGCUAUUUGCAGUAGAACAGGAUUUUUCUUAUCUUUUUUCUUGUUGAAUUUUGUUUUUGUUA